rnacentral:misc_RNA from 1 species
ACAUGCGGCGGCUUGAUCUCGUAAGAGAAAUCAUGAUUCUGGACAUCAUUUUCCACAUAACCAAACAGAAAGAUACCUAAAAAGAAGCCUACAGCGAAGAAUAUCAAGCAUCUGUAGAAAGAUCUGGGAAAUCCUUUUCGUUUCUGAAGGAAAGCGCCGGCAAGGAACCUGCGAAGAGUGGCGAUGUUGAAGCUGAAGAAGGAGGUGGCUAAUGUAGAGGAGCACUUAGUGGCGUCGGUGGUAAAGAACUUGUGAGAGGGCGAAUCAACUGAAAGUGGAGAGUUGGCGGAAGCGACGCCAUUUGGAUAUGUGCGGUCGUGAUGUGCCGGUGAUAGAGUUCGACGAAUAGACGCCAUUCGAUAGAUUGACUAAUUACAUGAUCAAAUUGACCGACGGCGAGUCAUCGCAUUCAGGAACCCUAAAAUUCCUAUGGAGAGAUUGGGUUGCAAAUCCAGUAAAGCGAAAAUGGAAUCGAUAAAGAGAGAUGGAGAUUGGAUUUUCCAGGAAAGUUUGAUUGAAAAUUUUUGGACUUUGAAAGCGGAAAAGGAAAAGAAAUGGAAAUGCUGGACGGCAG